AUGAUCUUUACGGCUGCCAGCAGAACAGCCACUGAGGAGCAAAGCCUGAGCUGUAUCGCACAGAGAGGUACCGGAGUAAUUCCCCCUGCACAGCAGGACCUAGUGGUUCGGGGACCACCCGUACCCGCAAGGCUGCGGCGCCGGGAUGAGUGCUGGGCAUCCGACAAUCGCGAGUAUCCCGACCCCGUCCCACGGCACCGGGACAGCCGCGCCUUCGCCGCCCGGCCAGCCCCGGGCCGUGACCCGAGGUGGCUCCGCCGCUGCGCCGGUCCCCACGCGCCACCGCGGGGGCGGCAGGACCCUCGCCCGGCGGCGGCACAAGGGCCGACGGGCCCCGCCGCCCCUCCCGGGAAGCCGUUCCCCAGCGAGCGAGAAGCCGCCUUCGGAGGCGCCAACGGCCGGUGGGGGAAGCGGAGACGGCACUGUCUCCCGCGGCCGCGCUCCGCCCGCUCCCGGCGGGGCGAGAAGGGUCCGGGGCUCCCCGAUCGCUCCUGCCGGAGAGGGCUCGUCACCGUCCCCGCGCGGCGGCCGCGCCUCGGCCUCUCGCCCCCACCCCGCCGCCGCCGCCCCCCCUUCGCCACCGCGGCACGGCGGACCUACCUGCGGCGAGAAGGCGGCGGCAGCGGCAGCAGCGCCCCGGGCCCGAGCGCACGGAGCUCGGCCCCACCCGCGCGGCGACGACCGCCGCGGCCCUCCGCGAUGCCGGCAGCGGCUCCUCAGUCCCUCCGCCAGCGCCCGCCGCCACGGGCCUCUCAGUUCGGCACCGCCAUUUUGUCGGUGCCUGCGCCGCGGAGAGCUUCCCGGAUAUGGGCAGCUCCCGGCCUGCCUUGCGCGCCCGGCGCCCCGACCCGGAUGGAACGCGACGGCCGCCGCCCGCCCCGGGACGAGCCGAGGCGGCACCCCCGGCGUGCGGCUAACGUGGGCAGGCCUGCUAGGGGGAACCACAAACACCAGACACCACUCCCCGCCAGGUGCCGGGCACUGCUUUUUGCUUCCGUGGCAGUACCGAGCUGA
rnacentral:lncRNA from 1 species